UACGGAGGGUGCGAACGUUAAUCGGAAUCACUGGGCGUAAAGCGCGCGUAGGCGGUCUGUUAAGUGGGAUGUGAAAUCCCCGGGCUUAACCUGGGAAUUGCAUUUCAAACUGGCCGACUAGAGUACGGUAGAGGGAGGUAGAAUUUCCUGUGUAGCGGUGAAAUGCGCAGAUAUCAGGAAGAACACCCGUGGCGAAGGCGGUUCUCUGGGACGGUACUGACGCUGAGACGCGAAAGCGUGGGGAGCGAACAGG
rnacentral:rRNA from 1 species